rnacentral:rRNA from 1 species
AGAGUUUGAUCCUGGCUCAGAUUGAACGCUGGCGGAAUGCUUUACACAUGCAAGUCGAGCGGCAGCGCGGGGGCAACCCUGGCGGCGAGCGGCGAACGGGUGAGUAACAUAUCGGAACGUACCCAGUCAUGGGGGAUAACUAUCCGAAAGGAUAGCUAAUACCGCAUACGACCUGAGGGUGAAAGCGGGGGACCGAAAGGCCUCGCGCGAUUGGAGCGGCCGAUAUCGGAUUAGCUAGUUGAUGAGGUAAAGGCUCACCAAGGCGACGAUCCGUAGCUGGUCUGAGAGGACGACCAGCCACACUGGAACUGAGACACGGUCCAGACUCCUACGGGAGGCAGCAGUGGGGAAUUUUGGACAAUGGGGGCAACCCUGAUCCAGCCAUUCCGCGUGAGUGAAGAAGGCCUUCGGGUUGUAAAGCUCUUUCAGCAGGAACGAAACGGUGGUCCCUAAUACGGGCUACUAAUGACGGUACCUGAAGAAGAAGCACCGGCUAACUACGUGCCAGCAGCCGCGGUAAUACGUAGGGUGCGAGCGUUAAUCGGAAUUACUGGGCGUAAAGCGUGCGCAGGCGGUUAUAUAAGACAGAUGUGAAAUCC